CUCUUUAGGGCCACAUCUGUGGCAUAUGGAGGUUCCCAGGCUAGGGGUCGAAUUGGAGCUAUUGUUGCCAGCCUAAACCACAGCCACAGCAACAUGGGAUACGGGCUGCACUUGUGACCUACACCACAGCUCACGGCAACCCGGGAUCCUUAACCCACUGAGCAAGGCUGGAAACCUCCCUAUGCCAUGGGUGCGGCUAAGGAAAAAGGCAAAAAAGACAAAAAAAAAAAAAAAGAACUUUUAACUUUCAAUAUCUAGAAUGGAACAAAUUAUCACCCAAUAGAAAUCCCUGCAGACAGAAUAUGCUUUUUCCUAAAUUUAAAAAGUGCCCUCAUUUCCUCAUUAAACAAAUAAUAUACGCCAAACCUUUUUAAAUUGGAAAAUAACCAAAAAGCUGUGUCACACUACCUAGUAGGCACUCACUGUUAAUAUUUUGGCAUAUUCCUUAUAGUCUUUUACCUGUAUUUGGGGUCAAUUAGAGUCCUCUUAAAGUUGUAAUCAAACUAAACAUUAUUAUUUACAUCCUGUUACCUUAAGUAUUUCUCAUGCUGCUGUACAACCAUGUAUCAGUCAUUAUUCCAUCAGCCGUAACUCAAGAAUAAGCUGAACAUACAAUAUAUAAUGGAAUUACGGACAGUUUCAUAACAGUCUCUGAAAUAUUUAGUUAGAGAUAAACAUAUGAAGAAUUCCAGGCUUCUUUCUAAAAGCUAAACUUAAUUUCUGGCAAGCAUGACUGGUAAUUAUAACCAAAAGCCAAAUAUUAUGGAGUCCUUUUUUUAGACUAAGCAAUCUUACCACUCAGCAUAUAUAAUCACUGAAACACUUCCAGCAUAAUGAUAUCUGCUCAGCUACUGGCAGCCAUAAAUGUUCCUGAAAGCCAGAGAAAUGUAAAAAUUCUCUAAUAUGAUUUGCAAAGCAAAACUUAUAUCUGAACAAACUGAAACCAUAAAACUGGUCAUAAACAUAAUAUAUUCUGAGAAAAUUCAUACUCAUACAUAUUUUCACCUAUGAGAAGUAGAUAUAUAAAUCAACAUAAAAAUAAAACCAAUCAAUAUUGGAAAAUGUUUUAUCUACUUAACAGUCUUGAGUUCACAUAAGCACAUCAAAUUAUUUUUAAAUUCUACAUGAAAUCACUGAAGGAAAAUUAUUUAAAUUUUCAAAAAAGAUACUUGGGUAUCCUAACAGUACCAGAAAACAAGUGCUCAAAAAAAUAAACUGAAGGGAGUAUGCCAAAGGAACACAGAAGCCAACUCAACGAGCUCCAAAUGGCCAAAGGCAGAACAAUUGAGCAAAAACAUAAAGUAUUGGAUUAUACUUUAUAAACUAAAGUAUAAAGUUUUAGGAUUAUAAACUAAAGUACAAAGUAAAUAUCCAUGACUGCAUACUGACACAAAUAACUGCCUAAAUAAAUAAAUAGGAGAAAACAGGCAAGUCUGCUGCACAGAAGAACUCUGAAUAAUUUAUGUAAAUACUGCCUCCUCAGAAAGAAAAGUACAACUCCCCAGCCCUUAAGUGUGGGUUCUCUGCAUGGUAACUUCUUUCCAAAAAGUAAAGUAUGGUGGUGGUGGUAGGGGUGAGUACUGUACUCUGCAAAAAUCCGACAAACGCCACCUUGGCCAAGUGAUCUAGACAUCGACAGUGAUAAUUCAUGUUGAUAGCAGGUACCAUUAAUAUAAUGUGAUGAAAAUGGCACUCUUAUCACUGCAGUCUUUCCCCCCAAGAACCCACAAUCCCCUUGUAAUUAUGAGAAAAAUAUCACACAAAC
rnacentral:lncRNA from 1 species